rnacentral:rRNA from 1 species
AGAGUUUGAUCCUGGCUCAGAACGAACGCUGGCGGCGUGGAUUAGGCAUGCAAGUCGAACGGGAUUUGCUUGGUUCAAGUUUUCGGACGAGAACCUUGCAAUGAGAGUGGCGGAAGGGUGAGUAACACGUGGGUAACUUGCCCUCAAGUGCGGGAUAGCCCCCCGAAAGGGAGGAUAAUACCGCAUGUGGUCGUCUCCCGCAUGGGAGACUUUCUAAAGGUGGGGAUCUUCGGACCUGCCGCUUGAGGAUAGGCCCGCGUCCCAUCAGCUUGUUGGUGAGGUAACGGCCCACCAAGGCUUACGGGUAGCUGGUCUGAGAGGAUGGUCAGCCACACUGGGACUGAGACACUGCCCAGACUCCUACGGGAGGCUGCAGUCGAGAAUCAUUCGCAAUGCGCGAAAGCGUGACGAUGCGACGCCGCGUGCAGGACGACGGCCUUCGGGUUGUAAACUGCUGUCAUGAGGGAGUAACGAGGACCGGGUGAAUAGCCCGGACCUGUGAGAGUACCUCAGGAGGAAGCCACGGCUAACUCUGUGCCAGCAGCCGCGGUAAUACAGAGGUGGCAAGCGUUGUUCGGAUUUACUGGGCGUAAAGGGUGCGUAGGCGGUUCCGUGUGUCAGAUGUGAAAGCCCACUGUUCAUCGGUGGAAUUGCAUUUGAAACUGCGGGGCUUGAGUUCGGGAUGGGAGAGCGGAAUUCCUGGUGUAGCGGUGAAAUGCGUAGAUAUCAGGAGGAACGCCGGUGGCGAAGGCGGCCCUCUGGAACGACACUGACGCUGAGGCACGAAAGCUAGGGGAGCAAACAGGAUUAGAUACCCUGGUAGUCCUAGCUGUAAACGUUGUGUACUUGGUGUGGGAGGAUUUAGCCCCUUCCGUGCCGGAGCUAACGCGUUAAGUACACCGCCUGGGGAGUACGGUCGCAAGGCUAAAACUCAAAGGAAUUGACGGGGGCCCGCACAAGCGGUGGAGCAUGUGGCUUAAUUCGAUGCAACGCGAAGAACCUUACCUGGGUUUGACAUGUGACUGCACGCUGGCCGAAAGGCCGGAAGCCUUCGAGGGUGUCACACAGGUGCUGCAUGGCUGUCGUCAGCUCGUGCCGUGAGGUGUUGGGUUAAGUCCCGCAACGAGCGCAACCCUUAUAUUUAGUUGCCAGUCCGCAAGGGCGCACUCUAAAUAGACUGCCUGUGAUAAGCAGGAGGAAGGUGGGGAUGACGUCAAGUCAGUAUGGUCCUUAUAUCCAGGGCUGCACACGUGCUACAAUGGCCGGUACAAAGGGAAGCAAGACCGCGAGGUGGAGCCAAUCCUCAAAGCCGGCCCCAGUUCGGAUUGAAGUCUGCAACUCGACUUCAUGAAGCCGGAAUCGCUAGUAAAGGGGCAUCAGCUACGGCCCCUUGAAUACGUUCCCGGGCCUUGUACACUCCGCCCGUCACAUCAUGAAAGCCGAUUGCACACGAAGUCGCUGGUCUAACCCGCAAGGGAAGAAGGCGCCGAAGGUGUGGUUGGUAAUUGGGAUGAAGUCGGAACAAGGUA